AGAGUUUGAUCAUGGCUCAGGAUGAACGCUAGCGGCAGGCCUAAUACAUGCAAGUCGAGGGGCAGCACGUUUUCGGAUGGUGGCGACCGGCGCACGGGUGCGUAACGCGUAUAUAACCUGCCCAUGACACGGGGAUAGCCUUGCGAAAGCAAGAUUAAUAUUCGAUGGUGCAAUUGGGAGGCAUCUUCUGAUUGCUAAAGAAUUUCGGUCAUGGAGGGGUAUGCGUCCGAUUAGCUAGUUGGUGGUGUAACGGACCACCAAGGCGACGAUCGGUAGGGGGUCUGAGAGGAUGAUCCCCCACACUGGUACUGAGAUACGGACCAGACUCCUACGGGAGGCAGCAGUAGGGAAUAUUGGGCAAUGGAGGCAACUCUGACCCAGCCAUGCCGCGUGCAGGAAGAAGGCCCUCUGGGUUGUAAACUGCUUUUGUACAGGAAGAAGUGACCCUUGCGAGGGUAGGUGACGGUACUGUACGAAUAAGCAUCGGCUAACUCCGUGCCAGCCGCCGCGGUAAUUC
rnacentral:rRNA from 1 species